CAGGCUUUAUGGAUGUAAGAAGGAAAAAAAAAAAAAAGCCAAGCCCCAGUGCAUCUGAAUACCCCUUCCCUUCCCCCGACCUGAGGCACUGUGGGAAUUUUUCAUCAAAUGCAAACUUGGGGAACCAAGCCAGGUAAAUUACCCUCGUUCCUGUUUUAGUGAUUUCCUUUCCUUUCAUCCCAGCACAUUUGGCUGCAGUACUAGACAUGAUUUACAAAUCAAAUGUUUACAAAGGUAUAUGCAGCUUCUGUGGGGCGAAAGGAAACAAAAUACGCAUAUUCUCUGCAUGGAUUGGUGCCUGUUACUCCUGUUUCUAGUCUCCAGGUAACUAUUUAACCUAACCAAGGUGGACCCUGGGUAGGACCCAGAGAAGUAGCUUGUGAUAUAAAUUUACUUUUGCAUAUGUAUUAUGUUCCAUCUUGUCUGUUCAAAUAAAGUGGUUUCUUUCUUCCCUGUCUCAAAUUCAAAUGUCCUCUAGUAGCAAAUAGGAUGAAGCGGCUGCCUGGAGGGCUAGGCCCCACCUCAAGGCAACAGCUGUGAUUCGGCUCCAAAUGAUCAUCACCGCCGGAAGUGUGGGCCCAAUGUCACCCCAUUUUCCAAUUUUUCUAUAGCUGCCGAAACUGGAUUUGUUAAUGCAAGAGUGAUCACCAGCCUCACAGGAAAUAUUGGCGUGUUAAAGAUGCUUUGUGAUCCAAACCUUAAGAAAAUCUUGGUCAAUGAAUAACAGGGCCCACGACUACCUAACACAAUGGAUACAAUUAGACCUCUGCCAAGAUUCAUCUUCAUGAAAUUUCAGAACACCAAGGACAAAGGAUCCUGGAAGCUUUCAGAGGAAAAGAACCAGUUUCAUACAAAGGAUCGAGAAUCAGAACGACAUCAGACAUCAACUUAACAGUCACAUUGGAAGUUGGAAGAUCAUGAUUCUGGGGAAAUUCUAAAUUCAAAAAUUAGAUUUCUAAAUUUAGAAUUCAAAAUUCUGGGGAAAUUGCUCUUGACUUACACUCAUAUGCCCAAUAUGUAUAAGGGUAGAAUAAAGACAU